GAGGCGCGCGCCAAGUAUUCGGAGGCUGGGAGGAUCUAAAAACAGGAAAAAAAGAGGCCUCUUGCCUGAAGGGGAUAAAAUACUUUAAAUUAUUCAAUUACGUGAGUCUCAGAGUUGUGGAUGAUUUAAUGAGAAUCAUACGAUUUGGCAAAAAGUAAUUCGAAUUUCCCAACGUAUUUCCUGCAGUUUUACACAGAUUUGUGGCUGGAUAAGUGUUGGGUUUUUAACUUUUCAGACGAUAUCUAGUGCGAAAAUUAAGUACGGUUAUCGGAACCGUGAAAUUACUGCUUUUAAAAAUUCUGUAUUCGCUCAAACUGAGAAAAAAUCCAGCAAUCAAUUGAAAAUGUUUUAAACAGAAUUAAUAUUGAUAGCCGUGUUUUACAAAGAUUCUACUGUUUUUUUAUGGUAAGAUUGUAGUUUUGAUGGAAAGUUUUGCUAAAAAUUUUCUACAUUGAAUUUAUAGGUAUUUAAGUAGAAAGGAAGGAGAUAAAAAGAGAAAGGAGGGUAGGAAAGGGAUAAAACUUGAGGGCCGAAACUUAGGCCUCCCCUGAGCGACCGUCUCCUUCGGGGCCGGUUUCCGACAUUUUCCACCUCUGGGCACCCCCAAGCAUGAAGGUCUAGAACGGCCUAUGGCCGUGGGCAUGUGACAGGAGCGUUGUGGACAGGGCUCAUGAGUUAAGAGUCCCGCCACCGACUGGCACUUUUAAAGUCCCAUUCAUUCUUAUGGCCCUCGACUAAAGAGCACACCCCAUCUUUCCACUUGCACAUAGUUCCUUUCAGCAUAAAUACGUCCAUUUGGCAAGGCUUGACGGCUCAUACGGGGUUUUUCCUGAGGACGGGAGAAGAGGACUGGGUCGUCCGAAAGUCGGGGGCGACGGGGCUCUGGGAGCCGGUUAUCCUUGGCGCCACCACCACGGCACCCGAGCGACACCCAGCGACCCAACUAUCGCGGGAGGUGCGCGAUCCUCGAGGUCCAGAUCCGAUCCGGCGGUAGUCCCGUGCCCGUGGCUCCAGGACGCGCUUACGUAACGCCGAGUGCCAAGUGUCGAGCUUUAUGUAAUAAGAGGACGCUCCAUGCCAUUCAUUCGCGCCCGGGUCCGAUCCGCGGUUCCUCUGCCCGUCUCGCUCCCAGUGUCAAUGUCUCCGCGCGGUUAAGUGCCCGAGUGUCGAGUGUUAAGUGCGAACCCGGUGUCAAUUGUGAUCUAAGUGCAGGUGUCCGGUUAUCGGGGUCAGCAUGGCGCCCCAGGAUACGCUCUUCGGCAGCGGAGAGAAGAAGAAAGAGUAUGAUGACAGCGUGGACGAGGUGAAAAGUCUGGAUUUGGAGACGUCCGAUUCGGAACAGUCAGUGAACAUGGACAACAUGCGAACGGCCUUACCACAGGUAAAAUGAGCCUCGUCACUUCACUUCACUUCGCAAUACGCGGUAUAAUUAAAUCGAUCGGCUCGCGCUGAGAAACAUCAUUGCCACAGUUCAUGAUUAAGGUGAUUUGAUGGACGCCAUAUUUUGUGUCAGAACGACGUGCGAUAUAUCGCAUCGACUGGUUCCAUUUUUUCAGCUACUCGUCAUUUUCUCGAAUUUUGAGAUCGCAAUUCUGUUGUCAGGAGACUAUAGAAUUCACUUACCAAUUUGGACAAACAAAUUCAAUGUAAUAAAAGCGUGGUUUUUUUAGAAGAAAAAUAUCGCUUCCAAUACUGAUAUCGAAACUGCACUCGAAUGCGG
rnacentral:lncRNA from 1 species